rnacentral:rRNA from 1 species
UACGGAGGGUGCGAGCGUUAAUCGGAAUUACUGGGCGUAAAGCGCACGCAGGCGGUUUGUUAAGCUAGAUGUGAAAGCCCCGGGCUCAACCUGGGAUGGUCAUUUAGAACUGGCAGACUAGAGUCUUGGAGAGGGGAGUGGAAUUCCAGGUGUAGCGGUGAAAUGCGUAGAUAUCUGGAGGAACAUCAGUGGCGAAGGCGACUCCCUGGCCAAAGACUGACGCUCAUGUGCGAAAGUGUGGGUAGCGGACAGG